ensembl:lncRNA
AAACACAUCUACUGUAACAUAAACGGGCCAAAAACACAUCUACUGUAACAUAAACGGGAUAAAACUCAUCUACUGUAACAUAAACGGGAUAAAAACUCAUCUACUGUAACAUAAACGGGAUAAAACUCAUCUACUGUAACAUAAACGGGAUAAAACACAUCUACUGUAACAUAAACGGGAUAAAAACUCAUCUACUGUAACAUAAACGGGAUAAAAACUCAUCUACUGUAACAUAAACGGGCCAAAAACACAUCUACUGUAACAUAAACGGGAUAAAAAACUCAUCUACUGUAACAUAAACGGGCCAAAAACACAUCUACUGUAACAUAAACGGGAUAAAACUCAUCUACUGUAACAUAAACGGGCCAAAAGCACAACUACUGUAACAUAAACGGGAUAAAAACUCAUCUACUGUAACACAACGGGAUAAAACACAUCUACUGUAAACAUAAACGGGAUAAAAACUCAUCUACUGUAACAUAAACCGGGCCAAAACACAACUACUGUAACAUAAACGGGAUAAAAACUCAUCUACUGUAACAUAAACGGGAUAAAAACUCAUCUACUAACCACGGGCCAAAAACUCAUCUACUGUAACAU